CCUCCUGAGCCAGUCUCUUGGCCUCGUGGCUGGGAGGGACCUGGAGAGCAGGCUUUACUGGAGGGCUUCUCAGGGCUGGAGCCAAGAGACCCCCAUCAGGACAACCUGGGGGGGGGCUGUUUUUAGUUUAGUUUUUUGUUUUGUUUUGGUUGUUUCUAGUCGAUUCAGUUCAGAAUCCCAUUGUCUCACGGUGACCCAGGGCCCUGCUUUCACGUGAUUCUUUGGUUUUAAUACUGAUAUUUAGGUUCCUCCUGUUCUAAUUUCAGGGGCCUAGGAUACAGCCUGGACAUCAGUGUUUGGACAGCUCCCCAGAGAAAAGAGAUUUGAUUUGCAGCAUUUGCUGACGUCUGUGAUGUCAACACUCUCAUCAUGGCCUGUUUCAGGCCACCAACAUGAUAUUCCUGAACACAGCACUGGGAUGAGAGGCACAACUGGCUUCCCAGCCAGCAGCGGGGGACACAGCACAGCACAGCACCUGAGGCAGGCUCCAAGGCCCGGGCUGAAGGAGGUGCGGGCUGAGGACCGUGGGCUGAGGACCGCAGCCUUAAUUGGCAUCACAUGGGAACUGGCUGCAACUGCAGAACCUCAGGUUCACCCAGACCUACUCAAUCCCUGCCUGCACCGGAACCAAACCUGCAGGUGAUUCUUGAGCACAUUCAAGUUUGAGAAUCAUGGCUACAGGAAAUGGAGGUUCAAACAAACUUUUCUGAGGCUCUAGAGACAGACAUGACCCUGGCUAGAGGGUCAGAGAAGCCUUCUUGGGAGAAGUGGCAUCAAAAUUCAGUUUCAAAGAAUGAGAGUGGAUUUCCAGUACUGGGGAGCACCCCAGGGUCUAGUGCAUGCUACACAAGUGUUGUAGCACUGAGGACUUUGUUUGCCAUGGAUCACAGCCUCAGUCACCAGGACACAAUCUUGGGCAGUCAUAGGCAAUUCAUGUGCCCAUUCUGCAGUGUCGCAUCACCCACUCCUGUGGUUCAGCCCUGAGCCCCGAUUUUGAGAGGCAGACAACUUGCUGCAGGUCUGUGAUGCUGAGUGGGCCCAGCACUGACGGAGGUGCCUAGGUCGGAAGCAUCCCCCACCCCGCAUCCUGGCCUUCCUCUGGGGAACUCAUACUGGCUCCUGAGCUUGGUGGACAGGCCACUUUCCCCUGCCGCGCUCUUCCCAGCCAGCUAUUCCCCACCACAGGACCCACACCCCCUCAGCCUUCCCCAGCAGCGCUGCUCAAACUCUAACUGCUUAAGUGUCUCUUCACAAGGCUGGGACCUUGUAAAUCUUAGAGUGGCAUCCCCAGCACCCUGCCCCAUGUCACCACCAUUCCAGGAGCUCGCCCUGAUGGACAGAGCACUCACUGUGUGAGUGCAAAGGGCUUCACCAGCCCUGUGUCACUUAAACCUGGCGACUGCUCUCGGAGAUGGAUACUCUAAUUUUUAUCCCAUUCUACAGAAGAGGAGACUGAGGCCCAGGAAACAAUACAUGGCCUAGAGCCACAUGGCUGGAAAGCCUCAGGCAGCCAAGCUCCAACAGAAAAAGCACCUUUUGUGGUUGUUCUUGUGUCAGAAGCAACUUCGCUGUCCCUGGUUGUAUUUCCUCUCACUGAGGAAGGACCUGGCAGAACUGAGCCUUGUGUAAGACCGGGGAAUGCUUCAUUUGGGGCACAAGAAGCCAGUGUGUCUGCUGCAACUCAGCGAUGGCCUAGGAGAGGGGCUGGCCCUGCAGGCCCCUGCCUGGCAGUGCCUUUUAGUUCUCCCUGCUCCACUGCUGUAGCCAUUAGAGCUGCAAAUUAGCAUCGUAAUUGCCUUUUAACUAUUCAUAGCUGUGAAGGAGCCCAGGUGGGCCCUGCCUCUCCACAGCCUUUCCCUGCCUAGAGGGCUGCAGUUGGCCUCCCUCCCAGGCCUGGGACCCCCCUGCCCACCCUCUGGAGAAGCAGCUUCACAUUUCUGAGCCUCAGUUUCUCCAUCUCCAAGGUGAAGAUGAUGAUGGAAGCUUCAAAGACUUCUUGUGCACAAAAAAUGCCCUGCUCCGUUCCUGGCACACGGUAAUGACAGCAAUUAGGAUAGGCCUUGUUUUGUCUGAAGUGGGAGUGGUGGUGAGGAUAUGCAAAUCAGUGGCAUAGCCAGGGAGAGCCUUCCAGGGGCCUUUGGACUCUGGGCUCAGGGCUCUUCUCACUCCCAGCCUGUCAAUUCUUACUCUUAUCCUUUCCUGGCCAGCAACAGUUGCACCCAAGAGCGGGCAGGAAAUGAGACCUUGCCUAGAGACCGUCAGCUUUCUCAUAAAUCAAAAAUGUUUUAUUAUAAGGCAACCAGACCCUAAUUAACAGAGGGGAUUAACUCAACUGGGCUGCAACUGUGGGGUCAUCUAGUUUGUCCCUUAAAAGUGUGAACUAAGCCAGGCCGGGUGGCACAGCCUCUAAUCCCAGCAACUAGAGAAUCCCAAAUUCACCUCUGCAAUUUAACAAGACUGUGCCACAAAAUAAAAAUACAUAUUUAUAAAAACAAAACAAAACCAUGAACACUGACAUUUGAGACUCAGCAGAGUAGUGGUUAAAGGGCACUGAUGAUGAAGCCCAUCUGCAUAGGUUCAAAUCCAGUCCUGCUAUGCCUGUAUGUGACCUUAGGCCAGUUAAUUAACCUCUCUGUGCUUUGUUUCCCACUCUGCAGAAUAAGAAUGAUGAUGAUAAUGUCAUCCCUAAAGGGUAGUUGUGCAGUGUGUGCCGGGCUUCUGUAGGGUGGUAUGUGAAGCACCUGGAACAGCACUGAGAUGUAGUAAGCACUAGGCCAGUGUUUGCGUUUAUUACUUAGCAGGUGUCCUUGUUGACCUGCUUGUGUGACCUCUAACGCAGCUUAAGGAGGGAGUUUCUGCAUCAGCAAGAUUUUCCUAAGGCCAGUCACUGUCAUGUGGAGCAGGGACAGGUGCUCUUUUUGUUCUUGGUUUUCACUCAAAUCGGACAAAGUCCAGGAGGGGAGAGUUGUAGGUUAGCCCCAUUUAUUUAUGGGGAAACUGAGGCUCAGGAAGAUCAAGCAAUUUUCCCAAGGUCAUACAGACUGUAGUGAAGGAUGCAUUGCAUGCCUUGGAAGAGAGGGGAAGGAAUUGGGUGAUAUCCCAAGAAUGCGGGAGCUGGGGGGAAUUGCACUAUGAUCGCUGGUCCGGGAGGGCCUCUGAUUAAGAGUUGCCCUGGUAGGGACGCUGCUGGGGUCCUGGGCUGAGACCGGUCACAUAGUUGUUCCCCUCACCCCGCACCCCGUACUGGGGAUCGAACUCAGGGGCACUCAGCCACUGAGCCACAUCCCCAGCCCUAUUGUGUAUUUUAUUUAGAGACAGGCUCACUGAUUUGCUUAGCGCCUUCCUUUUGCUGAGGCUGGCUUUGAACUCAACAAUCCUCCUGCCUCAGCCUCCUGAGCCGCUGGUAUCACCAGCGUGAGCCACCGUGCCUGGCCACAUAGGGUCUUAUAAACCGCGGUGAGGAGUCGGGAAUUUCGACGAACCUGAUAGAAUGGCCCAACCCAGUAUCAUGGGACACUGUCUAUGUCCAGAAAUAUUCCAGGUUGCGCUCAAUCUGCAAAGGUAUUACAGCCCUUGGGGACCAAAAGGGACAUCACAUUCUAGAGCUCCAGGGUCCAACACUGGGGUGAUUCCCCAGCCUCCGGGCAGAGACCUACUCCUUGUGCAGGUGCGGGACCCUUAGCGAUCUCGCUCUCCGCUCCGCCCUCCUCCAAGUGUGUGUGUGGGGGCAGGGAGGGGCGCCAAGGGCGCGAUCAGCGUCCUGCAGGUCCCGCCAUUGUUUAAUGGCUGUGCUUUUUUUCUUUUCUCGGCAAUCAACAAUUUUCUGCUCCGCUCCGCGCGGGCGGGCAAAUGCAAAGCGGGCUUCUUCCUCGUCGUCCCGAUUACUGCGAGUGAACCCCGCGCAGAUGGUCUCGAUGGACGCGGGCUUCGGGCGCCUUUUCCGGGCAUCGCACCCGAAGGCUCCCACAAAGAUCCACGGCCCGGCCAGCGCCCGCCCGCAGGGUCGGGGUCCAGCCCGCGCCCUCCUUCCCGCAGGGACCCACGUCCCACUGGGUCUGCAGCAGCCGCCAGCCCGCCGCGCAGGCGCAGUGCGCGCGAGAUCCUGGGGACCGUCCUCCAGCGCCGCGCUCCAGCUGCGGCCCAUUACAGCGCUUUUGUUCUCAGUGGCUCCUGCGCUGUCGCUGAUCUCUGCCCCAGUCCCUUUCCCUGCCCCGGGUGAGGAGGGAGAAAACAGCGGAUACCGUUGCACUGUGCCCAGUGCGACUCCCAGCCCAGAGCUCGCCACUUCAUUGGUUCCUUCGCUCGGUGCGGUGCGGGCGUCUAGUUAAAAAUCUGAGGAGGAUUCUCAGGGCACCCCGAAAACCAGCCUGUAGGAUCCAAGAAAGCCUCCCGGAGGAGGAGGAGGAGAAUCUCACAGCCCAGGGUGGAUUCGGGGAGGGCUGGGGUUGGGGAGCUCUGGGCAAAGCAUUUGGCACCUUACCUGGUGUCAACCUGGGUCCACAGGGAGACCAGGGGUGGGGAUGGGCAGGGGCUUUUGGUCACAUUUGUGUUCUAGAAAGAUCCCUCUGCCUUUGGGAUGGGUGAGAGUGAAACGGGAGACCAGGGACCAGAGAGAAGGCGACUUCUGUGGUCCAGGUGGGAGAGGGUGAUGACCUAGGUGGGGUGGGUCUGCAGGACAGAGAGGAGAUGACCAGAACUGUUCAGGAAGACCACAGAACUGGGAGCUGGCUGUUUAGGGGUGAGGCAGGAAAUGAGGACAAGCUCAGGAUUGUGACUUCACGACCUUGUGAAUGGUGGCCACUCCUGAGUCGCUGGGUUCCUGCUGGGGCAGCUUCUUCCAUGCCCAUCCCCCCUUUCCUCAGGGCCUCUGUCCCGGUCUUCUCGGAGGCCUUGACCGCUUUUGUGAGAUUGCCCUCCAUUCCUUACCCUGCCCACCAUUUCUUCACUGCACUGACCACCAAAGCUGUAUUUGGACUCAUCUGUUGGUUUCUUGUCUGUCUCUUUGAGGACAGGAGCUUUGUUCUAUUUGCAGUAUCUGGAAACUGGAGCAGCAUUGCCUCCUGUCCAUCAGGUGAAUAAAUGAAGGAGGCAGUUCAGGCUCUAGGCCUUGCUGGUGUAUCAAGCAUCCUGGGCUCAGCACUCAAUAGCAAUGUAUUCAAUAAGUGCAUGAAUAAAUGGUUCUUUAAAACCUAACAGAUGAUAUACACAGUCAGGGCAUGAGAAGAGAUGCCAUCAAGACAACAGAUUAGUUGUAGCCAGCGUUUAUUGAGUGCCUCCUUCUCCCUAGGGUUAUCUCAUUUAGUCCUCACGUCAGCCCUAUAAGGGAAGGACUGUUGGUGGCCCCAUGACGUAGAUAAGGAAACUGAGGUCCAGAGAGGUAGAAUAAUAUAUCCAAAUCUACACAGCCACUAAGUGGCAGAGCCAGUGUCUGAACCCAAGAAGUUGGCUUCAAGGCCGCCCUGCUGCCAAGUCACAGCACAGUACAUGAAUACUGCAGCUUGAUGGAGAAGGUCACAGCCAUGCUCACACUCGCUGCAAUGCUCCUGCUAGCUAAAGGAUUCUUCCACAAGGGUCAGAGGCCCCACAUUGUCCUGGCCAGGCCCCAAAAGGCAGCAAACUUCAAAGAGAAAAGAGAGGCUGGCACCAGGUCAACCUAUACUGGCCUUUGCAAUGGGAUCAUCACUCUACUUCGUGUACGUUCCAAAAUUUAAUCUUUGCAGGAAAGUCUGGGAGGCUCCCGCCAUUAUCACUAGCCCCAUUUUCCAAAUGGAGAAGGUGAGGCACAGGGAGGUUAACCAGCUGACCUACAACAACACAGCCAUUCCAUGGGGUAGCAGCUAUGCAAACCCCAGCAGGCUGGCUCCAGGUCCCACUUCUGUAUUUCCUUUGAGCUGACCACAGCAGGAGUCCAGGAAUGACCAGGGCACCCCAGGCUGACUACUCUCUGUGUCAGGUGGUGGCUAUUAGGUGUCAUUAGAGCAGUGUUUACCCAAGGGCAUCCUGCCUCUGCCUGGUGAGGGGACAGCCCCUGGGAGCAUCAUCAACCCAGCCGAGGUUGAAUGGAGAUAUCAAUCGGCACCCUCCAUCCCUGUCACUGAACAUCCUGUAUUCAAUCACCCACAUAUUCAUCUCUUUUAAUCAUUCUCUUCUCGAUUGUGAUAAAGUCAUCUUUAUAGCACUGAGAACGUGCAUUUCAUUUGAAUUAAGUCUGCUGAAGUUGAUCAGUUUGUGUUGGAGAAUCAGGCUGAUAAAGGAAGACAUCUUUCAACAGUCCCUUCCUUUUUAACUGAUUGUUCUCCGAGAAGCUAUUAAGAGAGUCUCGUUGGGGUAUGUGGGAUGAUCAGCAUAGAAUCCCACUUCUAGGACUCUAGGAUACUAAGAAGACCACCUAGAGGCCUGUCCAUAUAGAAAGGGUCUGGGCCUCCCUUAGAGCAAUGGUGAGGGCAACUCUGCUGUGAUCCCCAUCCGGUGGUCAUUUGCCCAACCUCUGGGGAGUGGUACCUUGGAGAGCGUAGCAUUCACUUUCAUGCACAAGGCUCUGCAAGGCCCAGCUCAUGGUCAUCAUCUCAAGCCCAACAGGGUGCAACAGCAAAGGGGAACUGUUUAUUUUCUGUUUUUUUGUGUGUGUGUGGGAGGGGGGAGAUAUGGGGAUUGAGCUCAGGGGCACUCAACUACUGAGCCACGUCCCCAGCCCUAUUUUGUAUUUUAUUAGAGACAGGGCCUCA